rnacentral:ribozyme from 11 species
CCGGGGGAAAGAGCGGAUGCGACCACUGUGGUACUUGGUACGCUUCUUGGGCAAGAAACCCAAACUUCCGUGACGGGGAGCUU